rnacentral:tRNA from 1 species
GCCCCUGUGGUGGAAUUGGCAGACACGUACGGCUUAGGACCGUAUCCCGAAAGGGUUGGAGGUUCGAGUCCUCCCAGGGGCA